rnacentral:rRNA from 1 species
AUUGAACGCUGGCGGCAGGCUUAACACAUGCAAGUCGAGCGAGCGGCGGACGGGUGAGUAAUGUCUGGGAAACUGCCUGAUGGAGGGGGAUAACUACUGGAAACGGUAGCUAAUACCGCAUACCAUCAGAUGUGCCCAGAUGGGAUUAGCUAGUAGGUGGGGUAAUGGCUCACCUAGGCGACGAUCCCUAGCUGGUCUGAGAGGAUGACCAGCCACACGGGAACGGAGACACGGUCCAGACUCCUACGCGAGUCAGCGGUGGGGAGUAUUGCACAGGGGGCGAAAGCCUGAUGCCGCACGGCCGCGGGUGUGAAGAAGGCCUACGGGUUGGAGAGCCCUUUCAGCGAGGAGGCGUUACUCGCAGAAUAAGCACCGGCUAACUCCGUGCCAGCCGCCGCGGUAAUUC